CCUACGGGAGGCAGCAGUGAGGAAUAUUGGUCAAUGGACGCAAGUCUGAACCAGCCAUGCCGCGUGCAGGAUGACGGCUCUAUGAGUUGUAAACUUCUUUUGUACGAGGGUAAACCCCGAUACGUGUCUCCGGUUGAGAGUAUCUUACGAAUAAGCAUCGGCUAACUCCGUGCCAGCAGCCGCGGUAAUACGGGGGAUGCAAGCGUUAUCCGGAUUUAUUGGGUUUAAAGGGUGCGUAGGCUGUGAGGUAAGUCAGCGGUGAAAUCCCCCGGCUCAACGGGGUGAAGUGCCAUUGAUACUGGCUGGCUGGAAUGCGAAUGCCGUGGGAGGAAUGUGUGGUGUAGCGGUGAAAUGCAUAGAUAUCACACAGAACACCGAUUGCGAAGGCAGCUCGCGAAUCCGCGAUUGACGCUGAUGCACGAAAGCGUGGGUAUCAAACAGGAUUAGAUACCCGAGUAGUC
rnacentral:rRNA from 1 species